rnacentral:rRNA from 1 species
UUUUAGAAUUUAAUUUAAAGUCUAACCUGCCCACUGAAUUAUUUUUAAAGGGCCGCAGUAUCCUAACUGUGCAAAGGUAGCAUAAUCAUUAGUCUUUUAAUUGAAGGCUGGAAUGAAUGGUUGGAUGAAAUAUUAACUGUUUCAUAAAAAUUAAAAAUAGAAUUUUAUUUUUUAGUCAAAAAGCUAAAAUAUAAUUAAAAGACGAGAAGACCCUAUAAAUCUUUAUAUUUUAGUAAUUUUAAUUAUUUAGAUAAAUUAAAUUAUAAUUAUUUAAAAUAUUUUAUUGGGGUGAUAUUAAAAUUUAAUAAACUUUUAAUUUAUAAUUAACAUAAAUUAAUGAAUUAUUGAUCCAUUUAUUAUGAUUAAAAAAUUAAGUUACUUUAGGGAUAACAGCGUAAUUUUUUUAGAGAGUUCAUAUUGAUAAAAA